UACGUAGGGGGCUAGCGUUGUCCGGAAUCAUUGGGCGUAAAGCGCGUGUAGGCGGCCCGGUACGUCCGCUGUGAAAGUCGGGGGCUCAACCCUCGAAUGCCGGUGGAUACUGUCGGGCUAGAGUACGGAAGAGGCGAGUGGAAUUCCUGGUGUAGCGGUGAAAUGCGCAGAUAUCAGGAGGAACACCCAUUGCGAAGGCAGCUCGCUGGGACGUUACUGACGCUGAGACGCGAAAGCGUGGGGAGCAAACAGG
rnacentral:rRNA from 1 species